rnacentral:rRNA from 1 species
UACGUAGGGUGCAAGCGUUAAUCGGAAUUACUGGGCGUAGAGCGUGCGCAGGCGGCUUUGCAAGACAGAUGUGAAAUCCCCGGGCUCAACCUGGGAACUGCAUUUGUGACUGCAUGGCUAGAGUGCGGCAGAGGGGGAUGGAAUUCCGCGUGUAGCAGUGAAAUGCGUAGAUAUGCGGAGGAACACCGAUGGCGAAGGCAAUCCCCUGGGCCUGCACUGACGCUCAUGCACGAAAGCGUGGGGAGCAAACAGG